CCAGACUCCUACGGGAGGCAGCAGUGGGGAAUAUUGCACAAUGGGGGAAACCCUGAUGCAGCGACGCCGCGUGAGUGAAGAAGCGCCUCGGCGCGUAAAGCUCUGUCAGCAGGAACGAUAAUGACGGUACCUGAAGAAGAAGCCCCGGCUAACUACGUGCCAGCAGCCGCGGUAAUACGUAGGGGGCAAGCGUUAUCCGGAUUUACUGGGUGUAAAGGGAGCGUAGACGGUGAAGUAAGUCUGGAGUGAAAGGCGGGGGCCCAACCCCCGGACUGCUCUGGAAACUAUUUGACUGGAGUGCAGGAGAGGUAAGCGGAAUUCCUAGUGUAGCGGUGAAAUGCGUAGAUAUUAGGAGGAACACCAGUGGCGAAGGCGGCUUACUGGACUGUAACUGACGUUGAGGCUCGAAAGCGUGGGGAGCAAACAGGAUUAGAUACCCGAGUAAG
rnacentral:rRNA from 1 species